rnacentral:rRNA from 1 species
CAGCCGCCGCGGUAAUACGUAGGGGGCGAGCGUUACCCGGAUUCACUGGGCGUAAAGCGGGUGUAGGCGGCUCGGUAAGUCGGGUGUGAAAUCCCACAGCUCAACUGUGGAAUUGCGCCCGAAACUGCUGAGCUUGGGGCCGGUAGAGGGAGACGGAACUGCCGGUGUAGGGGUGAAAUCCGUAGAUAUCGGCAGGAACACCAGUGGCGAAGGCGGCCUCCUGGCCCGUUCCUGACGCUGAGACCCGAAAGCGUGGGGAGCAAACCGGAUUAGAUCCCCGGGUAGCCCACGCCGUAAACGGUGGGCACUAGGUGUGGGGGGUUAAUCCCUCCGUGCCGAAGCUAACGCAUUAAGUGCCCCGCCUGGGGAGUACGGCCGCAAGGUUGAAACUUAAAGGAAUUGGCGGG